GUCACAUAUUCACAGAUUGGAGUUUCCUGAGUCAAUAACUCCUGAGCUAAAUGCUGUUACUACACAAAUAACACCUCUUUUCUAUCGUAGUAAUGUAGAGACGCAGCUACAACCGUGUUUUGUGUAUUAACAGUGUUUAGCUCAGGAGUUAUUGACUCAGGAAACUCCAAUCUGUGAAUAUGUGACCAACUUUACUUAAGACGCCGAGGCGCUUUUUUCCUUCUCGAUAGGUGGUGUCCUUCUGCUAGGUGGCGUCCUUCCACUCGUACGUACACUGAAGCUGGAGGUCAGUCUGCUCCAUGUUUUCUAAGGAGAACGCUUUGAGCUGAUUCUUAGCUGAUUCAGAGCAUCAUACAGAGUUGGGGCACUCUGAGAGAAAAGAAGGGAUAGACGAGGAGCUGAGUGAGGAUAAAGGUUUCUCAGCAGAGUGGCAGUGAAGGGGCUCCGCAAAAACAGACCCAGAGAGGCAUCGGGAGAGAGGGAUGGCACUUUUUAUGACACACACUGAAAGAGACAAAGAACACUAAGGAGUGUGGUAAGAAGGAGCGGUUCUCUGAAACCUCCAGGCUGCGUUUGGGCUUGAGUUGAGUGAGAGGUCCUGGACUAGUCACAAUUGACGGCAAGGAGGCUUGAGACUGGUCCAAACAGAACAGGACAAGGAGGAAACUAAAUUGCAGAAAUGCUGAUGCCUUAUUUUUAAUUAUGUUAUGCUGCCAGACUCUAUAUUGGGCAGAACACACAUUAAAACGUGUGUACACCUGCCUGUAUACACACUCCUACCCUUAAGUACAUAAUUUCUUAACCCCGUUUUAUACAAAUAUAGUUACUACUAUUAAUGCCAGUAUAAUAUGAAUAAUAAUCUUUAGACAUGGGUUGUUGCUGGAUUUCUUUCUACUCAUAUAUUCAGAAAUAUAAAUAUGCGUUGCAAAAUAUGUGCAAUAUAUGUUUGUGCUUUUAUAUAUAUGGCAUUUUAUCUAUAUGUUUUGCUUACUGGUAAAUGUUUUUUUUUUGUUUUUAAUCUGACUUGUGUGAAAGAUAUGCCCUUCUCCUGACCUUGAUUUAAUAUACAGGACAUGAAAUGGAUUUUAUGUUGUUCAUAGUGAGUCAUCCCUGUGAUGUUUUUAGAUUUGGAGCUAGAUGAGAUAAAACAGUGUUAUUUUUGGGAACUUCCCACACGAGUAAAAACAAUCCAAUGACAUUGACAGCCGCAUUAGAAAUG